GACGAACGCUGGCGGCGUGCUUAACACAUGCAAGUCGAACGGAAAGGCCCUGCUUUUGUGGGGUGCUCGAGUGGCGAACGGGUGAGUAACACGUGAGUAACCUGCCCUUGACUUUGGGAUAACUUCAGGAAACUGGGGCUAAUACCGGAUAGGAGCUCCUGCUGCAUGGUGGGGGUUGGAAAGUUUCGGCGGUUGGGGAUGGACUCGCGGCUUAUCAGCUUGUUGGUGGGGUAGUGGCUUACCAAGGCUUUGACGGGUAGCCGGCCUGAGAGGGUGACCGGCCACAUUGGGACUGAGAUACGGCCCAGACUCCUACGGGAGGCAGCAGUGGGGAAUAUUGCACAAUGGGCGGAAGCCUGAUGCAGCAACGCCGCGUGCGGGAUGACGGCCUUCGGGUUGUAAACCGCUUUCGCCUGUGACGAAGCGUGAGUGACGGUAAUGGGUAAAGAAGCACCGGCUAGCUACGU
rnacentral:rRNA from 1 species